UGGGUGCGCGCGCGCAGAGUGGCCAGACCCCUCUCCACGCAGCUCUGGCUCUGUUCAAUUCGGCAAGUGCACUCACAGCAGAACUGCCACCAGUAUAACGUCUUGACGAUGGGCUCCAGGGUUUGACACUCCGCAGCGCCACCAGCUCUGUUUUCUCCCCAAGUAAGCCACUCUCUACCUCGCGAGCAGAUCGCCCUGUGCGCGCUACAAUCCGUGGGGCGGGGAGACCUGGCGCUCACUCAGCGAGCUCGACUGGUGCUGACGUCCAUUCAGGCCUUUAAAUGUCUCUGUCCCUGCGCAGGAGGGAACGGACUUUGUAGCAGUCACUUUGCCCGAAGGGAGACGCGUCUCUGCUUUUGCAGGCGGCAGCUCGGACUCCCCUCACUCUUCCCAGCGUUGCGUUUGCCUCUGUCUUUGCCUCGAGUUCCCCGCAGCCUCUCCAGCGGGAGGCGCUUUUGAUAUUCGCACCCCGGGCGUGAACCAACAGGACUCCCCAUGCCCUGUGCUUUUUCAGUGGGUUCGAAGAUCAGAGAUUGCGAGGUGCGCUCGGUGUUCGCUCAAGGAGCAGGGAGCUUCCUCCCCCUGAUUUUGGUAGGGGGUGAUUUGUUUUUCCCCCGAAAAGCGUCCUUCCCGCUCCUGAAGCUGCAACUUGUUUUGGUUUCUUCUCAGUCCUGUGUGUCGUUACAACAUCAAAGUUUUUCUCCCUUACCCUUCCAAAAAUCUAUCCUUUUAAUCCACUCUCCUCCCCCCGCGCUGUCUCCGCCAGGCCUUCUCGCUGUGCGGUGAGUGGAUAGCGGGCGCGAGGUGUGGCAGUGGCGGCGAAGAUUGGCGCUAUCAGGAGGAUCAAAAGGGAAGGAUCUGCUGCUGGGGGCUCCCGGGUGACCCUUUGCCAGACGAAAAGAGCUGGGUAAGGGCGCAGAAGAGGAGCCGGAACCUUCUGGGACCCUGGUGCCUGACACUGGAUUUUGAUCACCAUCCUUGUUGUGUGUCUCUGACCCUUUUUUUCCUCAAUUGGUAACUAGUCGAGAGAGAAGCGCUUGGCAGGAGCUCUCUGCGGGACCUAAGCUCCCUGGCUGCUCGGGAUCCCUACAUCCGCUGCUGCUGAAGGAGCAGAGGGGAGGACGCCAGCGGUUGCUUACUGGAGCCUGGAGGAAAAUGGAAACAUCAUUCCCUAGAAACAGUUGAAGUUGACAGACCUAGAGGUUGACGAAAGGACACGACACUAGGGAAUUUGCAUUGUCAUGUUUCGAAAUACCAUUCCAAAGACCUGCA